UUGCACGCUGGCGGCAGGCCUAACACCUGCAAGUCGAACGGUAACAGGAAGAAGCUUGCUUCUUUGCUGACGAGUGGCGGACGGGUGAGUAAUGUCUGGGAAACUGCCUGAUGGAGGGGGAUAACUACUGGAAACGGUAGCUAAUACCGCAUAACGUCGCAAGACCAAAGAGGGGGACCUUCGGGCCUCUUGCCAUCGGAUGUGCCCAGAUGGGAUUAGCUAGUAGGUGGGGUAACGGCUCACCUAGGCGACGAUCCCUAGCUGGUCUGAGAGGAUGACCAGCCACACUGGAACUGAGACACGGUCCAGACUCCUACGGGAGGCAGCAGUGGGGAAUAUUGCACAAUGGGCGCAAGCCUGAUGCAGCCAUGCCGCGUGUAUGAAGAAGGCCUUCGGGUUGUAAAGUACUUUCAGCGGGGAGGAAGGGAGUAAAGUUAAUACCUUUGCUCAUUGACGUUACCCGCAGAAGAAGCACCGGCUAACUCCGUG
rnacentral:rRNA from 1 species